UACGAAGGGUGCAAACGUUGCUCGGAAUUAUUGGGCGUAAAGCGCGCGCAGGCGGUUUAUUAAGUCUGAUGUGAAAGCCCACGGCUCAACCGUGGAGGCCUUGGAAACUGGUAGGCUUGAGUGCAGGAGAGGAGAGCGGAAUUCCUGGUGUAGCGGUGAAAUGCGUUGAUAUCAGGAGGAACACCCAUGGCGAAGGCAGCAUACUGGCCGGCAUCUGACGCUGAGGCGCGAAAGCGUGGGUAGCAAACAGG
rnacentral:rRNA from 1 species